UAUUAUAUGUUUAUGCUCCAUGUUGCCAACCCGUCGUAAGCGCUGUUUUCGUCGCUUAUUUUUUGUCUCUUUCUAUCUUAAAACGUCUAAAGUAUUAGCUGUCUCACUUAUACAAAUACAGGUACAGCGGGCUUCACUCACUCUUUUGUUUCGGCUUGUAGAGUGCGCACGUGUGAUUUAUUGUGUUCCUUAUUUUAUUUGACGUUGGCUUGUUAACUGGUUUCUGGAAUCUUACUAACACGAAUACUUUGGCUUGGAUUUACGAAUUUUGAUUUGUUUUUUGCGGACUGGAUACAUUUGAAACUGUUUAUUUGAUUUACCUACCACAUUUGGGGCGAUAAACAAGAAAAGCCAAAAAUGCCAAAUAUCAAGGAAGAAACAGUACAAAAGUGGAUAUCCGAAUAUCCAGAGCUGUUAUACGACCACGCUAGUCGUUCAAUAUAUUGCUCGAAGUGCGAGAGCCAUAUAACGGCGAAAAAAUGUAACA